AACGAACGCUGGCGGCAUGCCUAACACAUGCAAGUCGAACGAAACCUUCGUGUCUAUUUGCGCACGUGUGCUUAACGCGUGGUAACCUACCCUUAGGUUCCGAAUAACUGCCCGUAAGGGGUCCUAAGACCGGUUAAGGUCUUCGCACCUAAGAUUUAUCGCCUUUGGGUGGGGGCGCGUUGGAUUAGCUAGUUGGUAGUGGAAAAGCAUACCAAGGCCACGAUGCCUAGCUGGUAUGAGAGGAUGAUACGCAACACUGGGAAUGCGACACGGACUAGAACCCUAGGGGAAGGAGCAGUGGGGAGUAUUGGACGAUGGGCGCAAGUGUGAUACAGCAACGCGGGGUAAGUGAUGAAGGCGUUAGGGUUGUACAGCCGUUUUACACGGGAUGAUAAUGACAGUAAUGGGAGAAUAAGCACCGGCUAACUACGUG
rnacentral:rRNA from 1 species